GCCUGAUGAUGUUCAUGUGAGUGAAAGCAGCAGCAGAGGAGAGAUGAGGAUAAUUUGUUCCACAUGCAGAUCAGAGAUGAGGCUGGGAGUGAUUCCGCUACCCUCCCCCUCUCUGGUGCAGUCUAAUUCCUGCCACCUGUGUCCCAUUAUCUCUGCUUCCUGUUUGUUCCUGAGCUUCCCCCCAGCCCGUCUUCCCCUUCCUCUGAUUGUGGAGAAAUGAACCCGCUGAGCUCCGGUAGAGGCUGCUGGGCUGAUUUCAGACUGUGGAGGUUUACAGAUGAAGUGGGACGUCAGAGGCCCGGAUUGGAUCUGAACAGAACCAGAGAAACAUCCAGAUCUAAUGGCUCCUGAGAACCUGACAGGAACUGAAGCUGUAACCACUGAUUCUCCUCCAUACUUCCUCUGAUCUGUUAAAUUGUUCUUUAUUGAACAUGAAUACCAUGAACAACACAGAACCAGAACUUCAGCUGAUUGGUAGACCUUUCAAACAUAAGACGGGCCCCAGCCUGGCUCCCAGCAGCAUGUUGGUCUGCAGCGCAUCUGCUGGCCUUUAACUAGACCACUUCUUGAUGCAAAUGGUGGCACCUCUUUUUUUUUAGGAUUGUCUGAUUAAAAUGGACUUUCAGUUUUUAUUUUUAAAGCAUGUUGGAAACCAUGUUUGGAGUAGAAGAGGGAAAACUCAGCAGUGGGAAUAAAAUUCUCUCAAUAAACCGGAACAUGUUGCUGGAACAGAACUGGUCUGCUUUAAAUCUGUCAAAAAGAUUCCAGUUUGUUUUCUUCUUCACAUUCAAGGUUACUUAUGGAGUCCCACAGGGUUGUGGCCCGGUCCAGUUCUCUUCAGAUGGGCGGAGUCAACCUUCCAGAGAAGUCAGCUUCCUGUCAGACUGGGUGGAGCUGCAGUGACUCGGAGGCGAUCUCCGUCCCACUGAGUGCAGCAGCAGAAUCUCCUCCUACAGACUGCAGAGCUGCUGGACUCUAGCUGUGAACAUCAGGACCAACAUUUCACCCGUGGAAAGAUGGAAAACCUGGCUGUGAUCUACUUCUUCUCGGCUCUUGUAGGUCAGAGCUUGGAAGCUGAUAUUACUGCCAUCAGAUCUGAAAUGUUUCCAUCAGAGGGAGACAGAGUCACUCUGUCCUGUAACUAUUCAGUUAAAGCCGACAACCUUCAGUGGUAUCGACAAGAUCCUGGAUCAGCUCCUCGCUUCCUUCUCCUGAUCACUGAUACUAAAGAUCCAACUGUGGUGGAAGCAGAACCUCCAAACCCUCGACUGACUGCAGGACUGAACAAGGAGAGAAACCGAGUGGAUCUGCUGAUCUCCUCUGCUGCAGUGACAGACUCUGCUGUGUACUACUGCGCUCUGCAGCCCACAGUGACAGGAAACACCAGAACCCUGUACAAAAACCUGCAGUUCUCCACAGCAGCCACUAGAGGGCCUCACUCCCUGUUAAACCACUAAAACCUGCAGUUCUCCACAGCAGCCACUAGAGGGCCUCUCUCCCUGUUAAACCACUAAAACCUGCAGUACUCCCCAGCAGCCACUAGAGGGCCUCACUCCCUGUUAAUCCACUGGUUGUUGAGUCUUUGGACUGAAGACAAAGACAACAGAGACAUGAAGCAGUAAAGAUCAGAGACAGAGCUGCUGAGGAAGCAGAAAACUCUCUGAUUGGUUGAGUUGAAGUGGCCCCGCCCACUGACCUUCAGCUCAUCCAAUGACAUCAUUUCUUCCUCCUUCUGUUGCAACAUUGUUGAUCUGCUGUGUUCUCAGUUUAACUUUGGGACAGCUCCUGCGUCUCCUGUCCUUUAGGAAGGUUAACAGAGAACAGACGACUGAUUACAGAACCACUGCAACUGUCACAUGCCAAUGUGCCGCUGGGCAAGGCAUUUAACCCCAGGUAGACUGAGAUCUGAGUUGCAUGUGAAUGUGUUUCACAUGGUGCAACUCCAGGUCCAGUGGAAGACGAACACAUCGGCAUUUCUUUGCUCUCCUGCAGACGACGGUGGACACAGAAGAUAUCGUCUGAUUUUUAAGUGAAUCUCUUGGUGGAAACGAGUUCACUGCUGAAACGGUCCGAAAGGAUCUUUAAUGAGGUCUGAUUAUUUCGACAUACUGAGUGUCAUCAGGACACGGUCUAAAGUCUGAAGACAGAAGUGGGCAGGUCUGUGGAUUCUGUGAGUAAAACCAACUGAGUGUAAGAUAAUAUUGAUGUGACAGAAUAAACAUGAUGUGACAUGUUAUCACCCUCAGUGUCAGAAUAAACAUUAAAAUGCCCCACUAUAAUAAUC